rnacentral:rRNA from 1 species
AAACGACUCUCGGCAACGGAUAUCUCGGCUCUUGCAUCGAUGAAGAACGUAGCGAAAUGCGAUACUUGGUGUGAAUUGCAGAAUCUCGUGAACCAUCGAGUUUUUGAACGCAAGUUGCGCCCGAUACCAUUAGGUUGAGGGCACGUCUGCCUGGGCGUCACACACA